rnacentral:rRNA from 1 species
GUGAAAAACUCCGGUGGUAUGAGAUGGACCCGCGUCUGAUUAGCCAGUUGGUGGGGUAACGGCCUACCAAAGCGACGAUCAGUAGCCGACCUGAGAGGGUGACCGGCCACAUUGGGACUGAGACACGGCCCAAACUCCUACGGGAGGCAGCAGUGGGGAAUAUUGCACAAUGGGGGAAACCCUGAUGCAGCGACGCCGCGUGAGCGAAGAAGUAUUUCGGUAUGUAAAGCUCUAUCAGCAGGGAAGAAGAAAUGACGGUACCUGACUGAGAAGCACCGGCUAAAUACGUGCCAGCAGCCGCGGUAAUACGUAUGGUGCAAGCGUUAUCCGGAUUUACUGGGUGUAAAGGGAGCGCAGGCGGUACGGCAAGUCUGAUGUGAAAGCCCGGGGCUCAACCCCGGUACUGCAUUGGAAACUGUCGGACUAGAGUGUCGGAGGGGUAAGUGGAAUUCCUAGUGUAGCGGUGAAAUGCGUAGAUAUUAGGAGGAACACCAGUGGCGAAGGCGGCUUACUGGACGAUUACUGACGCUGA